UUUGCUGAACUCUUGCAUUGUCACAGCCAUUUGAGGAGCCUUCAUGAGGUUAUUGACAAGCUUCAUAACCUCGGCGCUCUUGGAUAGAUGUCCCACUGUGCGAGCAAUUGCUGCAAAGCCAUCAAACUCAUGAGUUUCCAAAGAACAACAUUUAAAUAACUUUAAUAUGUCAUCAUGGCCAAUUGAAAAAGAAUCCACAGUUAAAACAAUAAAUGGUUAAUCAAACUAUUACACUUAAUUAGUCAAUAGAAGCAGUUAUUUCCAGGGAAAAGUCCAGAAACACCCUUGAACUUUGCAUGAUGUGCAAUUUGAAAGCUGAAUUUCAAAAAAUUUGUAAAAAGGACACCAAUCUCUGCUUUGGGUGCAAAAUGGACCUUCGUCAUCUAAGGCAUUAAAAAUUGGAUGAAAACACCACAUGCAAAGGAUAUCUGGAGUUAGUUUUAAACAUCUUUGAAGUCCAGGGGCUAAAUCAAACAUCAUUUAAUGUUCAAGGAUGUUUUUGAAUAGCAAAGGACUAUUUUUCACCUGAACCACCAAAGUUCAUGAUCCUUUUUACACAAUUUUUAAAAUUAAGGGACUAAUCACAAAUCAUGCAAAAAUUUGACUUUUCACUUAUCUUCAUUCUGUUCCCAGUUUUCAAAGUUUUUUGAAGGAAAUGGUUAAAACAAGAAAAGUCGUUUUAAUCAUUUCUGUGACAACUAUGAUAACAAGAGAAUAAAAUUGAAACAAUAUGGCACUUGUGUAACUAUUGUUGAAAACAUGCCUACUGGAAAUGAAAACAAAAAACAAACGAAAUAGUCCCCUUACAUUAAAUGGUUUGCCAACCUAUAAUUAUUGCAUCCGAUCAAAUACAAAAUCCUGAACAAAAGAGAGUUGACUGAACAAGACAAAGCUUGACUCAACCCUUAAAUAGUGGAAAGGGGAUGACCAUCAACACAAUGUUAAGGUUGUUUGUCUUAUCACCUGGAGGUCAUAGGUUCAAACAAGUUGUUAAAACAUAUAGUCAGCCUUGGAGCGGAAGGGGGUAUAGUAUCAUGGCGGCAGUGGAGCGUAACAUUAAGCAUAGCUCCAACUAAAAUACAAAAUUAUAUUUAAAAUACAUAUAUGUGCAUACACAAUAACUAAAAUACAGAAUUCCAGGAGUAUUCUUCCAGCCCAGAUCCGUCCUAUUUCCUGGGGUAGUUCAACACCUUACCCCUCCACCAGAUUCACUAGCAUUCGACAUAUUUUGAUAAGGAAAAGAGAGAAAACAGAGGGUGGAUAUAGAGAAGAGAAAGUCCAGGCUAAGGGAAGUGGUUGCAGGGUUUUGGUUCAGAAACAAGAAGAAGCCUACGAAAGAGAUUAGAAGGUUGCAAGGGUUAUGGAAGAGAGUGGUUCAUAAUAUGGAGAGAAUUGAGGGUGGGGUGGAAGAGUGAAAAAAACUGAAGGGAACAGUAGUAAUAUAAGUUAAAUAUAAUGAGUUAAAAAAAUAGGGUAAAAAUUGGGACUAGAGGUUGAGCCAAGAAAAGAAACCUGCUCACCUGAGAACACAGUGUGUGACCCGAAAACACAGCCGUCUUCCCCGAAGCAAAAACGUUUGACAAUCCGAAGCAUUGUUUUGUCCCACACUGCUCUGGAACGUGAUUUUGCCCACGCCAACUCGUUAUUCACCACGAAAAGCACUGAAUCGUUCAAUUCAAUGCUUCAAUGCGCAGUUUUGAGAAGUCCAAAUCCUGGAAACGGCCUCUUCGCUUCUAAGGGUAUGGCUGUAUACAUCUACCUCCCCAGACCUCACUAGGUGAGAGCCUCAUGCACUUGAAUACCCAUUUUUUAUUAUAUAGUAAAACUCAUGAAUUUAUUUUUAGGGAUUUAUUCAGUUUUCAUGAAAUAAGAAGAACUUCUACCUUUUCUCCACGAUAAUAAACAAUAUCCUUAUUUCAGUCUCACAACCUAUCUCAUUCUUAACCAAACAUCUAUCUUCUUCGUCUCUCGUUCUUAUUUCUCUCACAUUGUUUUUAUUUAAGAACAAAAUUCAUAAAAUAAGAAUACUACAGUAGAAACAAAAUAAGAAUAUUCUUAUUUUAUUAAAAACAAUCUUAAAAACAACUAUUAUAGUUGCUCUAACUCAUAAUCACUAAGGAGCAUUAUUUAAUAACUAUAUACUCUAAAUUUAAAAACUAAUAUCAUACUUAAUUAAACAACUACCAAGGAAUGUUUCACUACAAAUGUCACAAAUAAGUUAAAAAUAUCAUCAAAUCAAAUAAUAUAGAUUUUAUACUUUAAUUGUAACAAAAUCACACAAGUAAGGUUUUACUAUAUAAACUAAACUAACAAAUAGCAAAUAUCACUAUAAAUAAGUUAAAACUUUUAAUUUUUUUAAUCUUAAAUCAAAGUCUUUUUGUUGUUAUACAAAAAUUGUUUUUUAAUAAAAUUGGUUGGUCUCACCAUACGAGGCACUGAUUUGAGAAACUCAAAUCAAUCAUAUGUUAAAUUCAUAUUGAACUAAUCGGUCUUAGCCAGUUCUUAUAAUACUGCGUUUUGACUGUCUUGGAAAGGCACAUUGUUUACUAGAAUAACUAACUCCCAUUUCAUUAAAAUAGUUGUAAUAAAAGUUAUUAUUUUUAAAUUAUUAUUUUUUAUUUUAAUGAUAUUUAAUAGAUACGCUUGCUUACAAUUCUUUGUCACGCUAAUCACCAAUGGGCCAAAGAAAAAAAAUUAAAAGGGGAAGGAUGAGACAUAGGUCAUUCCACACAUUUCUUGUAAUUGGGAUUCUUUUUGUAAUUUGCAAUUAGGCUUAAAAUUCCAUUAUUAAAACGAAACGAAGUGGUAAAAGUGUAAAACCAAUGUUUAGAAAUCGCACAGCUCAAUUCAACAAGAAAAAUCAGUGAACCGAGUCUGGAACCGGUUCAACAGACUAAAAGCCGCCCAGUUAAAAACUGGUAUUGAAUCGAUUAAGAUCUGGAUGGAAUACAAGAGUACAUCGAAACCUUGCUAAUAAAUGAUGAAAUUAACUAACUUUUACCAGGACCAGAAUUUAAACACACUUGCAGCACCAUUUCACAUGAAAACAUUGUUCCAAAUCCGAACACAAUAUCGUGGAUUUUUAUACAACAAAUCCCUGACCAUGGAUAAAAUUAGCUCCGCACUUCAUUAUAUAAAAUUUUAAAAAAAUUCUACAACUUGGUAUAGUUUGAAGAACUUGAGUGUAAUUUACAUUCAAACUUCCCAUUACAGUAUUCUCUUUCCCAUUAGUAGUGUCAAAGCGUACCAUACAAACAGGUACAAGGUAGAUGCAGCAAGACUAGCACAUUGUUUAAGACCUAACCUUAGCAAGUCGAGCCCUUAUUUCUUCCAUUUCUUCCUCAUCAUCAACACCCUCAGCUAUAGCCUCUUCCUACACGUGAUAAUAAAUUUCAUAAUUAAGGUAAACUCUAACGUUGUGUGGAGUGUGGACGACUUGAUUCAAGGUCUGACUGAAUAUUGCAUGUGAUAUAUUUUGAUUCCAUAACUCAAUGGUUAGAGCACUUGUUUAGUAAGUGGGAGGUCUUGAGUUCAACUCUCAAUGAAAGCAUAUUUUUUUAUGGCCCCGACCCUACCUAGUAGGAGUGUAGGACUAAGGCUUGGUCGCAGUGUAAACUCCUCUUAGGCAAGAAAGAACUUAUUCAUGGAAAAUAAAUUAAUUGCACAUACCUCGUCUGCAGCUCCAGCCCUUUGAGCAGGUUGCUUCACCUUUUCUUUCCUGACAGCUUCAGGAAGCUGUGCGGCUGUCUCGCCAGCUAUUGCAGUUAAGACUUUAUCAACUUCUUCUUCUAUCUCAUCUUCUAUGUCCUCAGAAUCAAGUGCUGAGUCAACAGCAUCAUUUACCAUCUCCUCAAUAACUCCUGCCUGAAAGAGACAUAAUUCCCGAUAACUACAGUGCAACUGUCUUCUCUAACCAUAACGAGGGGAGAGGAGGAAAAAAGUGGUUUCUUAAUACAGCAUUGAAAAUAUUGCAUGAUUACCUUUGUCAUUUCUUUGCUGAACUCUUGCAUUGUCACAGCCAUUUGAGGAGCCUUCAUGAGGUUAUUGACAAGCUUCAUAACCUCGGCGCUCUUGGAUAGAUGUCCCACUGUGCGAGCAAUUGCUGCAAAGCCAUCAAACUCAUGAGUUUCCAAAGAACAACAUUUAAAUAACUUUAAUAUGUCAUCAUGGCCAAUUGAAAAAGAAUCCACAGUUAAAACAAUAAAUGGUUAAUCAAACUAUUACACUUAAU
rnacentral:lncRNA from 1 species